UCUCAGCGGCCUUGGGAAGCCGGAGAUUCUGCCUUCACACAAGCACAGUAAAUUGUGGACCCCCAAUCAGUGGCAGUGCCCAGGACCCUGAUGGAAGGACCAGAGACUCUGGUGGCUGGGGAGCUGAAUUCCCAUGCAUUUGGCAAAGUGCAGACAUGGAGCACUUUCCUGCAAGAGUAAACCUACAGGGCCAAGCCCACAGACCGUACAGGGAGCUCCGAGGACCAGAGGGCAGGAACCUCACCAGAGAACCUGCUUCUGUGCAACAACCUGGCCUGGCCAACUUGCUGCAGGGCACAGAAGGGUGCAAGCACAUGUGACUGCAGGGUGGAUGCACGCAUUUAUCUGUGUGCCUGGAUGUCUCUGGCAAUCACCUCUAAGCUCCCCAGGACCAGAACCAUACUCAACCUUUCAUUCUCAUUUCCCAAACAGGUCCUUUGCUUUGUGUUGUAGGUCACAAUGGAUAUUUGUUAAUAAGAUUUACAUCUAUUUGUUGUUUGUUUGCUUCAAAACAUGCCAGAGAACAUACAUAUUUAAGACAAAGAAAUGACACGUGGUGAAAUGAGGACUAUAAUAACCAACCACAGUUGCUGUAAGAUUUCAGUGAGACCACGCAGAAGUAAGCACCAUGCAAACUGCGGGGCUGAAUGGAGUCCCUGUGAAUGGACUUCUGAAAGUCCUCAGGCAAUUGUGAAGCAUGAAUGAACCAUAUGGAAGAGAUUGUUAGAGUGUGUGGGGUGGGGGCACAGAGGCUGACACAGCCACCUUGUGCCAGGAAUGAUAUACUUGGCUGUCUUUAGUCCUGAGGACGCUACGUGGUAGGUAUUGCUUCCAUCUAUUUUAUACAGGUUGGGAACCUCAGACUGUGUUAAGCCAUACAUCACGCUGCCCAGCUCAUAGGAAGCAGGACUGGGACCCCCACCCAGGAGUCUGUCUCGGGCUGUUGCCUGGGGCCAAAGCCUUGCUCUUGAGCCAGAGCUUUUGGGGAAAACAAGGCAGAUCUAGGCAUCUUGAAGAAAAACAAAAAGCAGGACUGUGUAAAGCUAAAAUGGCUUACCAGCCCACAAAGAGACUCUAGGGGAUAGCAGGGUGUGGGAUUAGGGGCAGAGAAGUCUCAGACUUGAAAUUUGGGAGCUGAAAUGAGUUUGCGGAGGAGGUCGUGGGCCUUCUUCCCUCGAGACCACUACAAAUAGGGCAUGGCAGCCAUCAGUGGCAAUAAUCAGUGGUUCGCUGCUCAUCAGAAACCAGGGUGGGCUGAGGAAAUACUAGCCAAGGUAUUCAUCCGGCUGUCCCACUUUUGGGAGGCCUGCUUUGUAGGAACACAAGCUCACAGUCCAGGAUGGCUGGGAGUGGCUGGUUAUGCAGCCAACUUAUGUUGCUGUAUUCCUCUCAGGGACUUUGCCGAGCGCCUCUCUGGUGCAUUUGAAACUGGACUGGGUCAUUUGUAGGGCAUGUCAGAGGCUGCCUCCUUAUGAAGGGGUGUGGGUCUGUACACUCAGAAAGUGGCUGCUCCUUUGCUGGCAGGGGCUGUGGGGUCUGUCUUCUUUGUGUCCCCGCUGUCCUGAAACCUGUGACAUGACCAGUGUGCAGUCACAGAGCUCCAAACUUCUCAGCCCCCUCCCGAUUCUUUUACCUGGAGAAGCCUGCUCUUUGCUGCCCACCUUUGCCUGACUUCUGGCUCUGGAUCCAUUGCCUGCUCCCUGGUUGUAGCCUGUCACUCCUCUGCUGGACUCCCUGGGGCUCACCUUGGUUUUCCUUCUAUAAGCAUGGCAUGCUCACCAUUUGGGCUUUGUCUACUCAACUCUGAGGGAAGCACACUGUUGUUAAGAGACCCCAGCUCACACAAGUCAGCCUCCGGGAAUGGAAGUGAU